UGUUAUACGGAAUAUCUUCGAAUCUUGCUUUUUUGCUUCGUAGUCAUGCAGGCGUACAUGUAUGGGUCGUGAAUUGUUUUGCUUACGCACAUUUACUACGUACCAGUCAAUGCACAGCUGCAGUCAUCGUAGAGGCACGAGGCAGAAACAACGCUGGCAGAACACUGGACGUCGUGGGCGUGUCUCUCAGACAUUUUUUGUUUUCAGGUGUGAAAACAGCUUGAUCAAGAAUUGUCAAGUGUUGCAGCUAAAUUUGGAAUAGCUCAGAGUCAGUUGAUUCUAGGAGCAAUUCUCACAAAGUACAAAAAGAGUCAUCAUGGUGAACAAAAAGAGUUGAGUAGAAAUUGUGUGAUACCACCACCACCACCACCAAUUGAACAAUAUAGAUGUUGCAGAUAUUGAAAACCCUUUACUCCCCAUCUUCCAAAGUGCUUGAAAACAAGGGCCGCUGCCCCAUUGGUGUACAUAGAGUUGGGAAAGGUUUCAGCGCUCCAGGGGUG